rnacentral:rRNA from 1 species
CAGGUCUUGACAUCCUCUGACCAUCCUAGAGAUAGGACCUUCCCCUUCGGGGGACAGAGUGACAGGUGGUGCAUGGUUGUCGUCAGCUCGUGUCGUGAGAUGUUGGGUUAAGUCCCGCAACGAGCGCAACCCUUGUCCUUAGUUGCCAGCAUUCAGUUGGGCACUCUAAGGAGACUGCCGGUGACAAACCGGAGGAAGGUGGGGAUGACGUCAAAUCAUCAUGCCCCUUAUGACCUGGGCUACACACGUGCUACAAUGGAUGGUACAAAGGGUUGCGAAGCCGCGAGGUGAAGCCAAUCCCAUAAAACCAUUCUCAGUUCGGAUUGUAGGCUGCAACUCGCCUACAUGAAGCCGGAAUCGCUAGUAAUCGUGGAUCAGCAUGCCACGGUGAAUACGUUCCC